UACGUAGGGGGCUAGCGUUGUCCGGAAUCAUUGGGCGUAAAGAGCGCGUAGGCGGCCAGAUAAGUCCGGUGUGAAAGUCAAAGGCUCAACCUUUGAAUGCCGCUGGAAACUGUCUGGCUAGAGUCCGGGAGGGGCGAGUGGAAUUCCUGGUGUAGCGGUGAAAUGCGCAGAUAUCAGGAGGAACACCGAUUGCGAAGGCAGCUCGCUGGGACGUCACUGACGCUGAGACGCGAAAGCGUGGGGAGCAAACAGG
rnacentral:rRNA from 1 species